AGAGUUUGAUCAUGGCUCAGGAUGAACGCUGGCGGCAUGCCUAAUACAUGCAAGUCGAACGGAAUCUUAUAUGUUCCUCGUUUCGGAUUUAGUUCCGAGUUGGGGAACAAUAAGAUUUAGUGGCGGACGGGUGAGUAACACGUUGGUACCUACCCUCUAGUGGGGAAUAACUUCGAGAAAUCGAGGCUAAUACCGCAUAAUAUCUACGGAUUAAAGCAUUUAUGCGCUAGAGAGGGGCCUGCGUCUGAUUAGCUUGUUGGUGAGGUAAAAGCUCACCAAGGCGACGAUCAGUAGCUGGAUCGAGAGGUUGACCAGCCACACUGGGACUGAGAUACGGCCCAGACUCCUACGGGAGGCAGCAGUAAGGAAUCUUCCACAAUGGGCGAAAGCCUGAUGGAGCAAUGCCGCGUGCAGGAUGACGGCCUUCGGGUUGUAAACUGCUUUUAUAUAGGAAGAUUAUGACGGUACCAUAUGAAUAAGGACCGGCUAACUACGUG
rnacentral:rRNA from 1 species